CACGUAAUUAGCCGGACCUUAUUCGUAUAGUACUGUCAUUUUCUUCCUAUACAAAAGAUUUUUACAACCCGAAGGCCUUCUAAAUCACGCGGCGUCGCUGCAUCAGGGUUGCCCCCAUUGUGCAAAAUUCCCCACUGCUGCCUCCCGUAGGAGUCUGGGCCGUGUCUCAGUCCCAAUGUGGCCGUACACUCUCUCAAGCCGGCUACUGAUCGUUGCCUUGGUGAGCUGUUAUCUCACCAACUAGCUAAUCAGACGCAAGUCCAUCUUACACCGCUAACACUUUGAUUACAUCCUCAUGCGAGCUUGUAAUGUUAUAGGGUAUUAUUCUCCGUUUCCAGAGGCUAUCCCCUUGUGUAAGGCAGGUUACUCACGCGUUACUCACCCGUUCGCCACUAAUCCAUUUCAUUUCACCCCGAAGGGAUCUAUGAAGUUUCAUCGUUCGACUUGCAUGUGUUAUGCACGCCGCCAGCGUUAAUCCUGAGCCAGGAUCAAACUCU
rnacentral:rRNA from 1 species